UACGUAGGGCGCAAGCGUUAUCCGGAAUUAUUGGGCGUAAAGAGCUCGUAGGCGGUUUGUCGCGUCUGCCGUGAAAGUCCGGGCUCAACCCCGGACUUGCAGUGGGUACGGGCAGACUAGAGUGUGGUAGGGGAGACUGGAAUUCCUGGUGUAGCGGUGAAAUGCGCAGAUAUCAGGAGGAACACCGAUGGCGAAGGCAGGUCUCUGGGCCACUACUGACGCUGAGAAGCGAAAGCAUGGGGGAGCGAACAGG
rnacentral:rRNA from 1 species